GCGGAUGUGGCGAAAUUGGUAGACGCACUAGACUUAGGAUCUAGCGCCGCGAGGCAUGGGGGUUCGAGUCCCUCUAUCCGCACUA
rnacentral:tRNA from 5 species